rnacentral:rRNA from 1 species
AACCACCUUGCAUACCAUGCUAAAUACGCCGGUUCACGUCGGAUCACCUAAGCUAAGCAGCAUUGGGCUUGGUCAGUACCUUGGAGGGAGACCACCUGGGAACGCCGAUUGCCAAUGGCUU